rnacentral:lncRNA from 1 species
UCCCUCCGCCCGCUCCGAGGGUCCGCGGAAAGUAGUCCCGCGCGCCCUCUGCCCUGACGCGGUGUGUGCCAGCUACCCGAGUGAAAGGUUUUCGGGGGAUUAAUCCUGAUGGGGUCUGCGGCGGCCCUUGCCCAGCGCCUUCCACAUGUGGAGCGGGCCAGUGGUGCUAGUUCUGCCGCCAACUCUGGACGGUUGAGUUCAGGGCCACUUUUUACUCAGGCACGGAUGUGACAGAAAGAUGGAAAAGGGUCUUGGAAGAACCACAUGUGCCGUAUAACGAACGACCUUUUGGUCUGAGGAGGACCGUGUAUAUGACGGUGGUCCCAUAACAUGAUAACGGAGCUGGAAACUUCCUGUCCUCUGGUGAGGGCUUAGCUAAGGACAUUUCCUCUCCUGUAUUUGGAGAUACACGUACAGGUGGAUCUGAAGCAGUGCUGCCUUAGUCUCCUUGGACUCUCAGCUCCAUUUCCUCAGCUCAAGUAGUCCACUGGGCUCUACCUCAGUUCUGCCUCCUCUUGCUGUGGCCUAGAAAUUCUCUCUGGAUAUCAGAAAACAAAGGACAGUAAUCCCUGCCAAGAUGGGAUACAAACAAGCUGCAGCCCUUGGUGCACAGUAUGAUCUGGACCUGGGGCACAGCAAGACCAGAACCAUGAACCACCAUGAACCAUGACUCCUCACUUGUGAGAUGACGUGUGCAAGACCCUGUGGACACAGAGUGACAGCUGAGUGCAAGUGUCAGUGAAGAGACCUAGAUUGUGGGGACUUUCCUGGCCUGGCAGAGAACCUUGUGUCUGCUCACGGGAGAAGGAAAGAACAAUUCCUCUGCAGAACUCCCAUUAUGGAUUCAUGGGUAUACUUGGAUGGUGUCUGACCGAGCUCCACGAAGGCAGGGAAGUACCUUCCGUCUUUUGUCUUCACAACCAAGCCCAGAGCCCCUGCAGGCAGCCUCCCUCAGC